rnacentral:misc_RNA from 1 species
UUUCCGUAGGUGAACCUGCGGAAGGAUCAUUAAUGUGUUUGGGCCUCAUGGCUCUUCAUUCCGACGCUGUGCGCCUUCGGGCUGCACGCUGAGGGAGCAUAUAUCCACCCCUGUGCACACACACGGUGGCGAGCUGGGUAACGGCUCGCCGCUGAUCUUUACACACGUCUAAAAGUCAUUGUAUGCUUAUUUGAGAUAAAAACACAACUUUCAGCAACGGAUCUCUUGGCUCUC